GACGAACGCUGGCGGCGUGCUUAACACAUGCAAGUCGAACGGAAAGGCCCUGCUUGCAGGGUACUCGAGUGGCGAACGGGUGAGUAACACGUGGGUGAUCUGCCCUGCACUUCGGGAUAAGCCUGGGAAACUGGGUCUAAUACCGGAUAGGAGCCAUUUUUAGUGUGAUGGUUGGAAAGUUUUUUCGGUGUAGGAUGAGCUCGCGGCCUAUCAGCUUGUUGGUGGGGUAAUGGCCUACCAAGGCGGCGACGGGUAGCCGGCCUGAGAGGGGGGACGGCCACAUUGGGACUGAGAUAAGGCCCAGACUCCUACGGGAGGCAGCAGCGGGGAAUAUUGCACAAUGGGCGCAAGCCUGAUGCAGCGACGCCGCGUGGGGGAUGACGGCCUUCGGGUUGUAAACUCCUUUCGCUAGGGACGAAGCUUUGUGUGACGGUACCUAGAUAAGAAGCACCGGCUAACUACGUG
rnacentral:rRNA from 1 species